CCAUUUUUAAAUCUACCUGCCACAUAAUAAAAGCAGCUUGUAAAGUCUCUAAAUUACGAACUGAUCUGAAAUCACCAUAGGAUCUCAAAUCACCAUAGGAUGGCUUUGUUUCCUGAAGACAUUUCCCCUAGACUUGCAGAAUCAGGGCUGCCAAGGUAAAACCAGCUACCCACAGACUUUCAGGCACACAGAGAUGAAGGAAUCAUAGAAUGUGUUGAGUUUGGAAGGACUCAUAAGGGUGAUCAAGUCCCAUUCCCUGCUUCUCGCAGGACUACCUAAAACUAAACCACAUGACUAAGAGCAUCAUCCGCUCACUCCUUGAAGUCUGGAAGAAAGUUUUACUUCUUCACACCUGUGAAUCAUCUUUCUGCUGAGUUCCUCAUAUGUGAGCUGCUUAAGUAUGAAUGGAAACAGCACUGGUCCACUGACUCUUGAUGAUCUCCUUGCACUAGAAACUCCUACAACAAGCUUCAUAAAUGUUAUAUCUCCAGUGGACCAAGCAUGUUAUAGCUCUGGGCAACUCUCUGGGCUGCUGGAUUGGCCCUUAAGCUUAUGCUGGACAGGAUAGGGAGGACCACCGGACAGGAGAUGGGAAUGGCUGUGCCUGACAGCUAAGUGUGAGAAGCUGACAGAAGUCACAGACAGUGAUGAGAAAGAAGGCAGAUUUUAUAGUUGGUUACACAGGGAAUUGUGACUCGGUCUGUGCCAGGCUUCACAGGUACUUAGAAAGCAGUCUUAAGUACGUCCAGGGGACUAAAACCUUGUAAGCCAGCAGUUCCUAAAUAUCAUUUAUCCUCUGUAAGGCUGAGACUUGACUACAGGUGUAGCAAAAUAGAACCACAGAAAACACAGCGGGGCAGGCUGUCUGAGAGGAGACUGGGAUGGGGAAAGGGAAGUACAGAAGUAUCAAAAAGAAGAGGCAGAACGCAGGAAAAUGGACAAGUUACUCAAAGGACCUAAGCAGGGCAGUGCUUGCCAGGCAGCCCAGCAUGUGGUCACCAAAGCUGCUGCAGCAAAACAAAGCAAACCCAUAGUUCUGACUUCAGCACAAAACCCAAAUCUGCUUUCUCAACCAGGAGGAAGCCAACAAGGGAGCACCUGGAUGGAAGAUGGAUCAAGAAUUCUGGUAUAACCAUGUCAAAACCCAUCCACUAAC